GCACCCAUGGUUUAGUUGGCUAUAACAUCUCGUUAACACCGAGAAGGUCUCCAGUUCAAUCCUGGAUGGGUGUA